UGCACAGAUGAUGAAUCUCUUUGGGACUUAAUACUGAAUUCAGUGAUGUCUAAAUAAAACUGAUGUGC